GCUUGUUUCUAAUUACUAGUCAGAAAUCCAGCCCUUUUUCUGUGUCGGCCUCCCGGAACAGUCACUGGAAAUGACACCUGCGACGCAGCCGCGAUGGCUAUAAAAUGACAAAUUCAAAGAGGGGAAGGAGAAAAAGCAAGAAUUAAAGAAAAAGCAGGGGGUGAGGAGCGUGUGAUAGGAGAGCAGGGUUUUCUCAGCACUGGUAGGAGCAGAUGAGGAGGAGGCUGGCUCAACGAGAGGAGCGAGAGAGAGACAGAAGACAGAGAAAGAAUGUAAUACUGCCACUGUUGAACAUCAGCAGGGAGCUACAGGCAGAAGCCCUUCAGAGUCUUGAUCUGCGAAAGGCGAGAUGGACAUAGAUCUCGGGCAGGAGAGGUUUAAAAAAUGAGCACCGGGCAGAAAGGUGUCCUUGGGAGACCCUGUAUCGUUUUAUGAGGCGAGUAGUUUGAAACGCCAUAACAUUUUAUGAGGUGAAACACAGGUUUCACUUUAACCUGUAAAGAGUAAAUGUAUAGUAGAGGGCAAGAUUACAUCCAGAUG